rnacentral:rRNA from 1 species
UACGGGGGGAGCAAGCGUUGUUCGGAUUUACUGGGCGUAAAGGGCGCGUAGGCGGCGCAACAAGUCACUUGUGAAAUCUCCGGGCUUAACCCGGAGCGGCCAAGUGAUACUGUCGUGCUAGAGUGCGGAAGGGGCUACUGGAAUUCUCGGUGUAGCGGUGAAAUGCGUAGAUAUUGGGAGGAACACCGGUGGCGAAGGCGGCCCCCUGGACCGGUACUGACGCUGAGGCGCGAAAGCGUGGGUAGCAAACGGG